ensembl:lncRNA
AAUCUUUCUUCAGCAUGCGCUAUCAAACCUCUUUUUGAAACUUUAAAGACUCUCAGUCUGGUCUCAGGACUUUGGCUGCAUAACUUAGCAUUAAAAUGAUCAUCAGCAUGAAAACAUAUUUCUUUUGCUAGCCCCAGUAUGCUAGUAACAUCUACUACUUGUUAUCAGGCGGACUGAAAGCUGUAAACUUGUUGAUAGCAGUUGGAGACCUGAGGCCCUUUUGCUCUGCAGUAACUUGUGGGCUGGCUUAGGGCUCCUGAAUGUCUAUGAGUGUUCGAUCUUCUGGAGCCUCCUUGAGGGCAGUUUUCGACAAAGAUAAAAGUACUCAGAGGAGAGAAAUACUGAUUGGUGAAACUCGGAGAUCUGGAGUUCAAUCCAAUAGCUACUACUUGUUGGGGUUUUGGUGUACUUGGAGUUAACAUUAAAUUCAAAUCUAUUGGAUACUACACCAAAAAAGAAACAGUCUUAAAGACCCAGUUAGGGGUCUGUUCCUAUAAACCUCAAGUCUGCCUCAAGUUCCUGCAGUGGAAAGGCAUAUACAGAACUGAAUUCCACAAUUAUCCACUGGUUCAGAAGCAGGGACUAGAAGGGGCCAAACUAUGGCCGGUGCACUACAACUGGAACACUGUUCUUACAUUCAAAAUGCAAGCACGACUCCUGAGUUCCUCUAAAUGUUUCUGUGUUCCUGCACAGAUAAAGAGCCACGUUGAGUUCAAACACUUAAAAAUAAUUCAGAAUAAUUUAAGAGCUGUAUUAAUUAGCUUUUGUUGUAUUGUGGGACAGAACUCCAUAACACCAAGAUGGACCAUUUGAACAUAUGUCUGUGAAGAUUCUCAGUCAUCCAGGUCAUGGUAAUCAUAGGAGAUCCAGUAAAAAUCAACUGCACUUCUCUUAUAGGUUCUUGAAGAUGUGUCACCUUUCACCUUCAUCCUCAAGAACCUACAAGAGAAGUCUAGUUGAUUUUUACUGAAGCUCCUACAAUUAAUUUCAAUAUAAUUACUGUACAUCGAUACUACGUCUAAUGUAAUUGCAAACAGUAUUACAGUGCAUAUUUGCAUGUUCAGCAGACGCAGAGCAGCAUUAGUAUUCCAGUUCAUGAAGGAAAUACCCAACCGUUACCCUGCUAGAUGUUCAGAUGUCCUCACCAGCUAGUUGCUGUCUUUGCCUGUUUGACGCUGGAUGCUGGUCAGAUAAAAUACAUUGGGUUUAUCAGAGCUUUUAGCUAAAGGCGUGAGAGACAAAGCACUACACACUAUAUGUAUGCAAAACUAAAAGAUACAAUGAAAAAAAGACCAAAAAAAAAAAAAAACUUCCGUGGAGUUGCAGAAGUGAGUAAUAAUCCUCUAUGGUGACUUCUCGCAUGAAACACUUGACAGUUGUCUGCUGUCAUCAAGUUUGCUUUGGACUUUUAAAGUCCACAGUGCUUCUUCUUUUCUGGAACUUCACCUUAGCUUUUGAGAAUCAAGUUUUGUUGCAUGUUUUGUUUCCCUGCCUUCAGUGGACCUGCAGUCAGUAACUAGCGCUAGCAAAGCCUGUAUUUAGCUAAAUUCGGUUUCGAUUUAUACAGUAACUCACGACAAAUGUCAUCUCAGGACACUUCACAUUAGGACACACAGUAGGAUAAGGACCUUACAAGAGGAUUACCAAUGUCUAAAACGCUCCCUUCCUGCUUAUAGGUGCCGAGUAUAACCUCACCCUGUGUUUAAAGAUCACCACGGUUAGAGAGUAGUGUGUAACUGGACGUCUAACGUGACUUUUGAUUAGAUCUAAGUCAUGUUUGAAGCCUGUCUGUGAAGCCAGCCCUGGAUCUCUCAUAGUCAAAGUAUGAAUUUACUAGUAAAGAUGAGGCCAACUUCAAAACUCUUGGCAGAGAUGUUUGGAGGUUGUAUUCUCCAAAUUUAAAAUGAAACAAGACAGUUCACUCAUUUCCACAUCUGUCUCUAGUUAGAAGGUGCAUCUAUAUAGCCCUUUUAAAGAUCAUACAGUCAUUACCCUCCAAGAGUCAUGAGGUAGAAAAAAUAUUCACGUGAACAUCUGCGCAAACCUUCAACUUCUUGACCUUAAAUCCACUGGUAGAAGUUGCGAGGAAGGUGUGAGCUGUCUCUUUUAAACCAUCCUUGACUUUACAAAGCCAAUGCUGACAUAUAAUCAGCUGUUUGGGACUUAUCUGUGUUAUGAAAUUUACAUAUGAAAAAAAGCUCAGUCCACCUCCCUCAGCCCCCGUCCUCAAAUUAGAGCGUGAAACUGUGCUCAUUUUUAAACAUCACAUUCAGUUUGCACGAGUUCAGUAUUUGUUUGCUAAUCAUCUAAUUGUUUUUUUCAGUUUUGUCACAAUGGUCCUGACUUGUGCUGUGGAGACAUGACUAGAUUUUGUUAUUUCUUUUCAGACCCUCAUUCUACCUUCCUUUUAACUAACGUUACAUUACCACUCACAGACUGCCCCCUUCCUGUCUUGCCCCUGCACUGCCUCAGCUCAGGCUUCAGGCAGAUCUACUGGAGGUAAUACACCAAGCAUGGAUAACUAACUAAUACAAUCCCAAAAAAGAAAGAAAUCUUACUGUUCCUUUACCAAUUCUAAUGAUAAAGUAUAGACAGUAUUUUAGUUAUUUAAAGAAAAAUCCCGGUCUUCGUACAUGGACACGUUGCACAUGUGCACUAGAAACCAUAAUUGUUACUUCCAGACAGCAUAAAAGAGCUGCUUUGGGUUUCCUGUUUGGCUGGUAAAGACAUGUAAGAGUUAAAAGGUAAAAAAAAAAACAAUACCAAGGAUAUAGAAUACAGUACAAAUCUCAUAGCGUCAGCAUGCUAACGUUGCAGGCUCAGAUGUUUGGUCGCAUACUUAUGUUCACAGAAUAAUGCGGACCUACUUGGACAUUGGAUGACAGGAAAUCAUGAUUGUCCUUCACUUACAGGUGUCCCAGAGUACAAAUGGCACCUUCCUUACAGUUAACAUCAUUUAAUAACCUUUUUUUUUUUUUUUUUUUUUUUUUUUACAUUUAUCAAUGUGUAAUAUUUUUACCUACCACUUGACCCCUGGAGAGCUGUUCUAUCCCCAUGAUGUGUCAGCUUGAUCUCAUGAGAAGCCGGUACUUAGAAAGAUCCAGUUUUCUUUUUAAUAUGUGCCAUUUAAUAUGAAUAAUAUUUCAUAUAGCAUAAUUAUUAACAGUGACGUAGUAACUGCAAAAAUCUGAAAUUGUGGCAAAGUAGCAAAUUAUUAUGUUUUCACCCCUAGCAGACAUAACGCUACCUGGUGAAUGCAAUUCUAAUAUGAAAUCUGAUUAUAGCUUUAGUUUUGUCACCUGACAACUCCUGGAAUUAAACAAAACAGGCUCUUUUGUGGCUGUAAAAUUUCGCAGUCCAGCCAAAAGAAUGAGCUAAAAGACACUGAAAUGUUCCACAGAGCUGAAUUCCUGAUCAUUUUCUGUCAGUUUGUCAUUGUGAGUGACUACUAAUAGACAGUGAUUUAACUCACCAUUCAUGUACUAUCAAUUAGCUCAGAUUAAAAAUUUUUUUAAAGACAUUUUUGAGCAAAUUACACUGCCGUUCAAAAGUUUAGGGUCACUUAGAAAUGUCCUUAUUUUUGAAAGAAAAACUGUUUUUGUUAAUGAAGAUAACAUUAAAUGAAUCAGAAAUACAGUCUAGACAUUGUUAAUGUGGAAAAUGACUAUUCUAGCUGGAAAUCUUUAAUGGAAUAUCUACAUAGAGGUACAGAGGAACAUUUCCAGUAAACAUCAUUCCUGUGUUCUAAUGCUACAUUGUGUUAGCUAAUGGUGUUGAAAGGCUAAUUGAUGAUUAGAGAACCCUUGUGCAAUUAUGUUAGCACAUGAAUAAAAGUGUCAGUUUCAUGGAAAACAUGAAAUUGUCUGGAUAACCCCAAACUUUUGAACGGUAAUGUACAUAAAAAUACAAAAUUGAGUGUGGCACUUAACUCUGUGUCGAAUGCGAUAUAAAUGGGUGUGUCUUGCAGGAUACGUAUGAACUGUCACUCAACCAUAAUUACUUGAAUGAGCGUCUAUACCGAACUGUUGGUGCAUGUAAACAUAGUCAAUGCUGACUGCUGGUUCAGAAAAUGUUUACUGUUCCUGAAGUGGUGCCAGUAUGCUGUUAUCUCUCCCAUGAGUUGUUACUCUUAAGGUUACUCAGUUAUAAACCAAUAACAAGAGUUGCACCAUAGAAAAGCUAUUUUACAGUACAACGGAAAAGGAUGUAUAUUUUCAGACUGCAGAUUUUUUUUUACAGAUGUUAGCAUAAUAGGAACAUGAUAUUGUUUUGCAUAUUGUUAAAAAAUACAGUAUCUUGCUCUCAAAUCCAUUUCCACAUCUCUGCAAAGAACCUGAGCAAGACGUAAUGAAUUAUAAAAAAAAAAACACUUCAGUUAGUGCAGCGUUAGUUCUACGAUUUAAAAAAAAAAAAAGAUUAAUCUACUAUUACUGUAGCUGGACCUCACUGCUACAUAUGAACACAUUUAGGGACAACUUCUUGGUCAAAGUGUAACCAGCAUCAGAGACAGAGUCAUCCACUGUCCACACGGAUUUCUCUCCUUGCGUGUUUGAGUGUCUUCUUGUUCAGCUCAUCUGUUCAACACAUAGUGGAAAACCGUUGGAGAGAGAGAGGCAGUGAGAAAAGGUGUAUGUAGGUGUAGGAGUGAAUCUGUGGCAGCAAAGGAGAGGAUGACAACAUUGUGCUCCAAACAUUUGCUGUUGCCUAUUUUACUGGAAACCGUUUCUAGUAAUCCACUGUCCAGCAGUGGACGGUGUUCUGACAUGAGCGUGGAGAACUUCCAGAGCAAAUGAUCUUGAUGCUCAUGAUUGACAAUGAUUGCAGCUAAUGUGAAUUGGCUCUUGUGAAUAAAGAUGGUUUUGAGAGAA